CUGUGAGACCCUCCUGGACACCAGCCAGACUUUUGUGAGAUGGGGCAUGGCACCCUGCCUCCCCCCAACAUCAAGUGAUAUUGACCUUUCCCUGAAGAGGCAGGAAUGAGAAAAUAAGACGAGAAGACCCUAUGGAGCUUCAAUUAAUUAAAAAAAAAACCAAAGCAUUCCUUACACUAAUUGAAUGAAAAGUAUUAGUUUAUAUAUGACUCUGUAAAGGACCACAUCAUUGGCCCCAUGAUCUGUGGAGACACCAGUAUUUACA